AUGGAAAGAGCUAGUACAAUCACAUAUUUGAAAGGAGAAACAAUAGGUACUGAACCGGAGGGAAAGGGCGAGGGUGAGUGUGCCAGCACCGGCCUGGUGAAUCCACAAUUCCAUUUCCCAUCCAAGCUAAGUUUCCCGAAAUAAUGUAUAAACAAGCUGCACAUUACACCUCUAGCCAUCGUCUGCCCUUUCAAAUAUCUGGUCUACAUGAAAAGACAAAGAGGAAAGGCCAAAACAUAAACAAAAGGAAACAAAAACAAAAUGCAACCCUCUCAAGAACAAAACGAAAACCCCCAAACCCUUUCUUACUACACAAGGCCUGAGGUCAAAAGCUUGAGUACAGCGUCCCCUUUAGACCAUAGGAGAAAGGCGUCCACACAGAACCUUAGCAGGAAUUUCCACUCCGAGGCUUCAGGACACACUGAAGAUGGGGCUUUGGGGGUGCCACUACCAUCCUGGAGGCCACCAACUGGGGUGAACUGGUGAACAGCAGAUCUCAUGUGCCUGAAGAUCACCAGCCCAACGGGCACUGGUGGCCCUGGUGGAGCAUGGCUGGGCCAAUGUCCAUCCCCAACAGUGAGCCACUCCUGUCCUGGAUGACUUCCUGUGUAGGUCCGUCACAUUUCAGAGGAGAGCUGGCUUUCUGGAAGCCUACAUUCCCAUUCACGACAGAGCACACAUACCCUGGUAUCCUUGGUCUUCAAAGGCCAUUUCCAACAGACCCUCUAACACAGGCCUGCUCUGCAGGAAAUGAAAAGGGACAAAUAAAGAUCUGAGGGGCAGCCAGCAGCUACUUGGCAGCGGAGAACCAACAGCAGGGAGGAGCUCCACCAGAGCUGCCACACUGCCGCAGCAGGCCAGGCCACAGCAUGGCCCUGCACCUGUGUGCACCCAGCUUCCAGAAGGUGUCACUGUCCUGAAAGCAGAUCCAGAAGACAGGAGGGCAACAGCACAGCUGAUGUCAACGUUUAACAAGGUACCCCAGAGUCCCUAGAAGUGGCUGGAAGGACGACCACAGCUUUGGAACUGAACCGAUUUUCUUGAAUUUGAAAUAAUAAAGUUAUCCUUUGUUUUUCCCCUUAAGGAACCGAGAGCCAGAGUGUUUAUGAAUUCCAAGUUUGAAAACAAUACGAAUGUUUAAAAAAAAAAGAAAGGCGGGGGGAUAGCCAAUAGUUAAGAAAACCAAACCAAAUGAUGCAGCUGGCAGAAAAGUCCCCAGUGGGUGGAUGAGCAGCAUUUCAGACACACCACCACACUCUGGACUUCAUCCCACUCUAGUGGACGGUGGACAGGUAUCACCCCAAGGCUACUGGUUGCUGAGCAAUGGGCCACACCCCCGAUGGCCAAGGCAGAGCUGCCAGCAUAGGGAGGAGGGUGACUUUAGCAGGCAAAGGUGAGGGAGUUCUGACCCUCUACUCCCCACCUCUGCAGCAACAAAGGGAAGUGCUGGUCUCCACCUGUUCCCACCAAGGCCCCACAGAAUCUUGACAGAAGCCUCUGCAUAUAUCUGCGCUCUGAGGAUGGACGGGGG